rfam:Arthrobacter cupressi strain SW1 SW1_scaffold_16, whole genome shotgun sequence.
UUGACGGAGAGUUUGAUCCUGGCUCAGGAUGAACGCUGGCGGCGUGCUUAACACAUGCAAGUCGAACGAUGAAGCACCGCUUGCGGUGUGGAUUAGUGGCGAACGGGUGAGUAACACGUGAGUAACCUGCCCUUGACUCUGGGAUAAGCCUGGGAAACUGGGUCUAAUACCGGAUAUGACCUUUUACCGCAUGGUGGAGGGUGGAAAGCUUUUGUGGUUUUGGAUG